UCUUGAGGUAUACCAGAAGUGGGGGGGAAUUUGUGGUGUAGGCGGUGAAAAGCUUAGAUAUCCACAAAGAACUCCAAUUGCGAAGGCAGCUCACUGGGGUAUAACUGACGCUGAGGCACGAAGGUGUUGGGUAUCAAACAGGAUUAGAUGCCCUGGUAGUCCACACAGUAAACGAUGAAUACUCGCUGUUUGCGAUACACAGCAAGCGGCCAAGCGAAAGCAUUAAGUAUUCCACCUGGGGAGUACGCCGGCAACGGUGAAACUCAAAGGAAUUGACGGGGGCCCGCACAAGCGGAGGAACAUGUGGUUUAAUUCGAUGAUACGCGAGGAACCUUACCUGGGCUUAAAUUGCAACUGAAUAUGGUGGAAACAUCAUAGUCUUCGGACAGUUGUGAAGGUGCUGCAUGGUUGUCGUCAGCUCGUGCCGUGAGGUGUCGGCUUAAGUGCCAUAACGAGCGCAACCCUCAUUAUUAGUUACUAACAGGUCAUGCUGAGGACUCUAAUAAGACUGCCGUCGUAAGAUGCGAGGAAGGUGGGGAUGACGUCAAAUCAGCACGGCCCUUACGUCCAGGGCCACACACGUGUUACAAUGGAUGGUACAGAGGGUAGCUACCAGGCGACUGGAUGCCAAUCUCAUAAAACCAUUCUCAGUUCGGAUCGAAGUCUGCAACUCGACUUCGUGAAGCUGGAUUCGCUAGUAAUCGCGCAUCAGCCACGGCGCGGUGAAUACGUUCCCGGGCCUUGUACACACCGCCCGUCAAG
rnacentral:rRNA from 1 species